GACGAAGGGGGCUAGCGUUGUCCGGAAUCAUUGGGCGUAAAGCGCGUGUAGGCGGCCCGGUAAGUCCGCUGUGAAAGUCGGGGGCUCAACCCUCGAAUGCCGGUGGAUACUGUCGGGCUAGAGUGCGGGAGAGGCGAGUGGAAUUCCUGGUGUAGCGGUGAAAUGCGCAGAUAUCAGGAGGAACACCUGUGGCGAAAGCGGCUCUCUGGACCACAACUGACGCUGAGGCGCGAAAGCUAGGGGAGCAAACAGG
rnacentral:rRNA from 1 species